GACGAACGCUGGCGGCGUGCCUAAUACAUGCAAGUCGAACGAGAAUUUUUUACACCGAGUGCUUGCACUCACCGUAAGAAAUUCGAGUGGCGGACGGGUGAGUAACACGUGGGUAACCUGCCCAAAAGAAGGGGAUAACAUUUGGAAGCAAAUGCUAAUACCGUAUAACCAUGAUGACCGCAUGGUCAUUAUGUAACAGGUGGUUUUGCUAUCGCUGUUGGAUGGACCCGCGGCGUAUUAACUAGUUGGUAGGGUAACGGCCUACCAAGGUGAUGAUACGUAGCCGAGUUGAGAGACUGAUCGGCCACAAUGGGACUGAGACACGGCCCAUACUCCUACGGGAGGCAGCAGUAGGGAAUCUUCCACAAUGGGCGCAAGCCUGAUGGGGCAACGCCGCGUGAAUGAAGAAGGUCUUCGGAUCGUAAAAUUCUGUUGUUAGAGAAGAAUAUGAGUAAUAGUAACUGAUUAUUCACUGACGGUAUCUAACCAGCAAGUCACGGCUAACUACGCGCCAGCCGCCGCCGUAA
rnacentral:rRNA from 1 species